UACGAAGGGGGCUAGCGUUGUUCGGAAUCACUGGGCGUAAAGGGCGCGUAGGCGGCUUGACAAGUCAGGCGUGAAAGCCCCGGGCUCAACCCGGGAAUUGCGCUUGAUACUGUUUCGCUAGAGUCCGGGAGAGGAUGGCGGAAUUCCCAGUGUAGAGGUGAAAUUCGUAGAUAUUGGGAAGAACACAGGUGGCGAAGGCGGCCAUCUGGACCGGUACUGACGCUGAGGCGCGAAAGCGUGGGGAGCAAACAGG
rnacentral:rRNA from 1 species